rnacentral:rRNA from 1 species
UACGUAGGGGGCAAGCGUUGUCCGGAAUCAUUGGGCGUAAAGAGCGUGUAGGCGGUCCUGUAAGUCCGCUGUGAAAGUCAAGGGCUCAACCCUUGAAUGCCGGUGGAUACUGCAGGACUAGAGUCCGGAAGAGGCGAGUGGAAUUCCUGGUGUAGCGGUGAAAUGCACAGAUAUCAGGAGGAACACCGAUGGCGAAGGCAGCUCGCUGGGACGGUACUGACGCUGAGACGCGAAAGCGUGGGGAGCAAACAGG